rnacentral:rRNA from 1 species
CUGGCGGCGUGCCUAAUACAUGCAAGUCGAACGAAACUUUCUUACACCGAAUGCUUGCAUUCACCGUAAGAAGUUGAGUGGCGGACGGGUGAGUAACACGUGGGUAACCUGCCUAAAAGAAGGGGAUAACACUUGGAAACAGGUGCUAAUACCGUAUAUCUCUAAGGAUCGCAUGAUCCUUAGAUGAAAGAUGGUUCUGCUAUCGCUUUUAGAUGGACCCGCGGCGUAUUAACUAGUUGGUGGGGUAACGGCCUACCAAGGUGAUGAUACGUAGCCGAACUGAGAGGUUGAUCGGCCACAUUGGGACUGAGACACGGCCCAAACUCCUACGGGAGGCAGCAGUAGGGAAUCUUCCACAAUGGACGCAAGUCUGAUGGAGCAACGCCGCGUGAGUGAAGAAGGUCUUCGGAUCGUAAAACUCUGUUGUUGGAGAAGAACACGAGUGAGAGUAACUGUUCAUUCGAUGACGGUAUCUAACCAGCAAGUCACGGCUAACUACGUGCCAGCAGCCGCGGUAAUACGUAGGUGGCAAGCGUUGUCCGGAUUUAUUGGGCGUAAAGGGAACGCAGGCGGUCUUUUAAGUCUGAUGUGAAAGCCUUCGGCUUAACCGGAGUAGUGCAUUGGAAACUGGAAGACUUGAGUGCAGAAGAGGAGAGUGGAACUCCAUGUGUAGCGGUGAAAUGCGUAGAUAUAUGGAAGAACACCAGUGGCGAAAGCGGCUCUCUGGUCUGUAACUGACGCUGAGGUUCGAAAGCGUGGGUAGCAAACAGGAUUAGAUACCCUGGUAGUCCACGCCGUAAGCGAUGAAUGCUAGGUGUUGGAGGGUUUCCGCCCUUCAGUGCCGCAGCUAACGCAAUAAGCAUUCCGCCUGGGGAGUAC